UACGUAGGGUGCAAGCGUUAAUCGGAAUUACUGGGCGUAAAGCGUGCGCAGGCGGUUAUGUAAGACAGAUGUGAAAUGCCCGGGCUUAACCUGGGAACUGCAUUUGUGACUGCAUGGCUAGAGUUUGGCAGAGGGGGGUAGAAUUCCACGUGUAGCAGUAAAAUGCGUAGAUAUGUGGAGGAACACCGAUGGCGAAGGCAGCCCCCUGGGUCAAGACUGACGCUCAUGCACGAAAGCGUGGGGAGCAAACAGG
rnacentral:rRNA from 1 species